AAUCAUGGCUCAGGACGAACGCUGGCGGCGUGCCUAACACAUGCAAGUCGAGCGGAGACAGUGAGUAGCUUGCUAUGAGCUGUUUUAGCGGCGGACGGGUGAGUAACGCGUGAGCAACCUUUCCCAGACAGGGGAAUAACACACCGAAAGGUGUACUAAUACCGCAUAAGACCACAGGAUCACAUGGUUCUGGGGUAAAAGAUUUAUCGGUUUGGGGUGGGCUCGCGUCCGAUUAGGUAGUUGGUGAGGUAACGG
rnacentral:rRNA from 1 species